rnacentral:rRNA from 1 species
GAUGAACGCUGGCGGCGUGCCUAAUACAUGCGAGUCGAGCGAACAGACGAGGAGCUUGCUCCUCUGACGUUAGCGGCGGACGGGUGAGUAACACGUGGAUAACCUACCUAUAAGACCGGGAUAACUUCGGGAAACCGGAGCUAAUACCGGAUAAUAUAUUGAACCGCAUGGUUCAAUAGUGAAAGACGGUUUUGCUGUCACUUAUAGAUGGAUCCGCGCCGCAUUAGCUAGUUGGUAAGGUAACGGCUUACCAAGGCAACGAUGCGUAGCCGACCUGAGAGGGUGAUCGGCCACCCUGGAACUGAGACACGGUCCAGACUCCUACGGGAGGCAGCAGUAGGGAAUCUUCCGCAAUGGGCGAAAGCUUGACGGAGCAACGCCGCGUGAGUGAUGAAGGUCUUCGGAUCGUAAAACUCUGUUAUUAGGGAAGAACAAAUGUGUAAGUAACUAUGCACGUCUUGACGGUACCUAAUCAGAAAGCCACGGCUAACUACGUG